CCCACCUCAGUAGGGAUCGAGGGUUGCAACUCGCCCUCGUGAACGCGGAAUCCCUAGUAACCGCCCGUUACCACCGGGCGGUGAAUACGUCCCCGCUCCUUGCACACACUGCCCGUCGCUGCACCCGAGCUGGAACUGGGCGAGGGCCCGUCUUGUUGGCGGGUUCGAGCCCGGUUCUGGUGAGGGGGCAGAAGUCGUAACAAGGUGGCCGCACGGGAACGUGUGGCCGGAUCACCUCCU
rnacentral:rRNA from 1 species